rnacentral:lncRNA from 1 species
CAAGAGAAAGUAGAACUAUAUAAAUAUUCAUCCAUCGAGGGUUUAGGAACAUUACGUAUAUAACACAACUUAUGUGAAUUCACUACAAUACAUAUCCAUAGCUGAUCACAUCUUCCCGAUUACACUUUGAUUACUUUAUUUAUGCAGUAUGCUGCUAGGUACGUAGGCGUGCAUGCAUAGCCACGUACGUACAGUAUCAAUGACGAAGAUACGUAGCCUAGUAUGGGCUCACCCCGGGGUANNNN